rnacentral:rRNA from 1 species
GACGAACGCUGGCGGCGUGCCUAAUACAUGCAAGUCGAGCGCAGGAAACUGACGGAACUCUUCGGAGGGAAGGCAGUGGAAUGAGCGGCGGACGGGUGAGUAACACGUAAGGAACCUGCCUCAAGGAUUGGGAUAACUCCGAGAAAUCGGAGCUAAUACCGGAUAGUUCAUCGGACCGCAUGGUCCGUUGAUGAAAGGCGCUCCGGCGUCACCUUGAGAUGGCCUUGCGGUGCAUUAGCUAGUUGGUGGGGUAACGGCCCAACAAGGCGACGAUGCAUAGCCGACCUGAGAGGGUGAUCGGCCACACUGGGACUGAGACACGGCCCAGACUCCUACGGGAGGCAGCAGUAGGGAAUCUUCCACAAUGGACGAAAGUCUGAUGGAGCAACGCCGCGUGAGUGAUGAAGGUUUUCGGAUCAUAAAACUCUGUUGUAAGGGAAGAACACGUACGAGAGGAAAUGCUCGUACCUUGACGGUACCUUACGAGAAAGCCACGGCUAACUACGUGCCAGCAGCCGCGGUAA